CUUUUCCCUUGAUAGCAGACUUCUUAUUAGGUUCUGCCAGUGGGAGCUCCUAGGAGUUUGAAAGAUGGAAAUAGAGGAGCUACUUCUUCCUACUUUCCUGCUUCUGCCAGUUGGCUCCAGCCCCAGGAGUCACUCAGUAAGAUCGUCUCUCUUGCCCCGAGUGGCACAGAAUGAUGACAGGUCACUUUGCUGCCAUGUUUGGUGGAGAUGCGGACAGUGGAUCUGACAGCUCAGAGAGCAGAGUGAAGAGAAAGAGAAACCAACUCAUUCAAACCACUUAUUCACGUCUCCCCGAAGCUUCGGACUUUACACCGAAUUUUUAUUAAUGCAAACGUCUGAGCACACCAGAAAGAGUAAGAAGAACCAUAGAGAAAGAAGCCUCCUCUAGAAGAAUGGUAAUAUCUUCUACAUCAGAAAUAGCAGCAUGUGGCCUCACUAGUACUACAGCACUUGCUAAAGUCAUGAGGAAAGAUCCCAAACUCUCUGCAGUUAGGCUUUGCAAGCUUCCUGGCGUUGGCCUCGUGUUUGGGGUGUACUAGGAGAGAGUGAGGGGUUCCAAGGGAAGGCCGGAGGUGCUGGCGGAUCUCAGGCAUCAUAAAUAACAAUGAGAAAAACACGGAUGUGCAGAAAUCAAUAAGCCGAGACUCACUCAGGAGGCUUUGAGAAGCCAGUCGGUGCCUAUGGACCAGGCUGAACAUCUGUCAGGCAAACAAAAAGCAAACUGAGAAGAACAAAGGCGAGAGGGAUUAUUUUCACUCAAGUUCUUCUUCAGGCUCAGCAGGUGACAUCCAAGCUGCUUGGCCUUCCUUCCUUCAGACACUGAAACUCCACGGAGGGUAUGCUGCCCAGCAAACCCCACACCAGCAACCCCAGCACAAAAGAAAGAGGAAGAAAACAAAACGCAGAUGGAAAAUUCAGGCAGAGCCACACCGUGGCCAUGUCAAAGCUUCCCACGUCCUCGCUAAUUUCCACAGAACCAUUCUGCUUGAGUGGCAGAACCAUUAAUCUCCAAGGGGCGUGUAAGAGCAGUUAAUUGAACUCUUACUCUCCUCCUUUUUCAUUCUUAAGGCCAGAAGCUGGGGAAAAGGAGGAAAGCGGAGGAGCCACAGGUCUUUGCAAAACGAACAGAGCUCAGAGACAGCCAGAUCCCAGGCACAGGGCGCAGCCAUGAGUAACAAAAACGGUUCACAGUGGGGAAGCCACACUGUGCCAUGUGCUGGCUUCUCUCACUGCCUUCAGUCUUCACCCAGCUGCUAUGAGGCUACCCACAGCUUUGUGCACACUCAGGAGACAAGGUGUCCCUGGGGCUGGGAGUGGGGCUGCCCAAGUCUUCCCUGUUCAACAGUUGACAAAACCACUCAGGAAUUAGCCCAAAUUCCCACAGCUGGUAUGUGCCUAGGUGAUAGUGCAUUACAAACCUACCAACAAAAUUAAGAUCACCAAAUAACAUUUAUAAGGCGGCUUGGGGGUCAAGUUUUAUGGGUUAAGUUUAGACAUACCCAACACUAUGAUUUUUAAAUAUGUCCACAAAUUCUUUGAUAUUCCUCUUUUCAAAAGGCAGAGUCUCCUUCCUUUCCCAUAAGCGUGGCAGCGCUUCACACCUCACUUCGCACACACAGAACAUGAAGCAACGAAGAGGUGUCACUUGUCAUAAGAAAGCGUGUGUACCCUGCUCACUUCCUCGGGUCUCUUGCUCUGGGGGAGUCCAGUUGCCAUGUGGUGAGGGCACUCAAGCAGCACUGUGGAGAGUCCUCGUGGUGAGGAGCCAAAACCCCCCACCCGGCAGCCAACACUCACUGGCCAGGCAUGGGAUUCAGCCAUUUCAGAAGCAGAUCUUCCAACCAGGUCGAGGUCAAGGUCAAGCCUUCAGACGACUUCAGCCGAGCUUCAUGGCAGUGUUCUAAGACACCCCAAGCCCGAACUGCCCAGCAAAGCUACACUGACAGACUGUGUUAGAGGAAAACUGUUUAGCAUUAAACCAUUUAAUUUGGGGGUAAUUUGUCAUGCAUCAACAGAUAGCUCAGACUUCCACCUUUAUCUACCUUAUGCCUAAUAUGAGAUACCACAGUUGCCAAGGCUGAAAUGUAACGUAAAUGCCCUAUCCCUUUCGGUGAAACUGGAGAUUGGCAGGCACUGUGGAACGACAAAGCUGAGAAAGCUGUUCCUCUAACUCAUGUUGCUCUCCCAGGGCACAGCUGGACUGCACUUCUCAGCCCCCUUGCAGCUGGGUGCAAGGGGACUGAGGUGCCAUCAGUGGAAUAUGGGUCAAAGCGGUUAUCCUGCUUCCAAGCCUGACUCAUAAAACCUUCCCUGGUGGCUGCUAUAAACCGAAUGCGCCCCAGAAUUCCCAUGUUGAAGGCCUAAUCCCCAGUGUGACCAUGUUUGGAGACAGGGCUUUGAGGAGGUAAAGUUAAGUGAGGUCAUGAGAACAGGGCCCUGAGCCAUAGGCUUGGUGACCUUACCAGAAGAGGAAGAGAAGUCUUUCUCAUUCCACAUGAACACACCAAGGAAAGGCCAAGUGAGGACACAGCAAGAAGGCAGCCAUCUGCAGCUCAAGGAGAGAGCCCUCCCCAGAGCCUGACCCUGCUGAUGCUUUGAUCUCAGACUUCCAGCCUCCAGAACUGGGAGAAAAUAAACUCCUGCCGUUUAAGUCACCCAGUCUAUGGUAUUUUGUUACGGCAGCCUGAGCAAACUAAGGCAGAUUCUCCAUGUUCCCUCUUUUCCCAUCUGCGUGCUGGAUAUUGAGACUCUGGGCAACCUUGGAAAUCACACGUGGAAGGUGGCAGAACCCCGUCGGCUUGGGUGCCUGAAUGUCUCCAUGGAGCGGAGACCUCACACCACUGCUGUAACCGCUCCUCAGGGUCACCUACCGUGAGCUUCACAAGAAAGAAACUUCUACUGUGUUUUGCCACUGAAAGUUCAGGCUUGUUGGUUAUGGCAGCUAGUAUUCUAUAACUAAUACCUGUUACAUUCAUUGUGUUAAUUGUAUCAGAGUUUCUUUGUAUGUUUGCUAACAUUAGGGAAUCCCUAUUUUAUUAUUUCACGAACCUGUAGUUUCAACUCCCGCGGACUGACUCAGAAAACAAUGACAUACAACUGCCUGUGGUGAGGGCCGGUUUCUUGUUCAGGAUCGUGCAUUCCAGUGCCUAUAUGAGCCCAGGGCUGUGGUUUUGGGGGUGCCUGUUUGACUCUAAUGGAUGCCGUCAGACAACUCUUGUUCACAGGGCAGCGUGACUUUGGAGAAGAAUUGAACCUCUCUGAGUCCCGGGUUCUCCAUCUAUGUGACGAAGCGGAGGUGCUGUCCGAAAUGAACUAACGCACUGAAGGAGCCUAGCACCACCAUGAGCUCACAGGCAGGCUCCUUUGCCUUCUCCUGUUCCUGCCUCCUGCUGUGCCAGCUCAUUGUCCUGGACUCUGGCCGGCUGGGUUAACAUGAAGCUCCUUUCUUACCUUUGUUGACCUACUGUGGCUAACAAAACCCAGUUGCAGACCCAGGAGGAGCAAGAAGCACUUUCCUUUUAUGUCUGCGGCCCGCAGUAAUCCUCCUCCCAGAGUCUCCCAGAGAGGAGAGACUGUCGGCUGUGCCCCUCCCCUUAAGCCCACUGCUCUGCUUGGCUCUUGCUUGAGACAUAUGGCAGGGGCUUUGUCUUCAAAUAUGUCUGCUUUCAAGUUGAAUACAACCAUUGUCUGGGCCUGGGCCCUCCAGGAAUUUACUGAUGAGGGCAGGUUGAUGACGGCACAGAAUUUCAGUUGAAAGUUUCCAGUUGGCUGGUUGUCAGCAGCUGAGAUGGCCAGGGAGCUGACCUGGGCUGAGAUUCCCAAACUGCCCCC